rnacentral:rRNA from 1 species
AAGCCUUCUGCUUAACCGAAGAAGGGCAUCGGAAACCGGGCGACUUGAGUGCAGAAGAGGACAGUGGAACUCCAUGUGUAGCGGUGGAAUGCGUAGAUAUAUGGAAGAACACCAGUGGCGAAGGCGGCUGUCUGGUCUGCAACUGACGCUGAGGCUCGAAAGCGUGGGUAGCAAACA